CAGUAGCCGCGGGAAUACGUAGGUCCCGAGCGUUGUCCGGAUUUAUUGGGCGUAAAGCGAGCGCAGGCGGUUAGAUAAGUCUGAAGUUAAAGGCUGUGGCUUAACCAUAGUACGCUUUGGAAACUGUUUAACUUGAGUGCAAGAGGGGAGAGUGGAAUUCCAUGUGUAGCGGUGAAAUGCGUAGAUAUAUGGAGGAACACCGGUGGCGAAAGCGGCUCUCUGGUCUGUAACUGACGCUGAGGAGCGAAAGCGUGGGGAGCGAACAGGAUUAGAUACCCCCGUAGUCCCUGUCUCUUAUACA
rnacentral:rRNA from 1 species